CAGAGUGCACUUAUAGAAGGAUUGGCGUUGUCGUGAUAGUAACUGUCUUGUUGACGACAUCGGUUGUUUUGGGAACAUGGACUUAUUUCAACAACAAUGUUCGGGACGUUCAAAAGACAAGGGAUACCACCAACGCUAGUCAGCCUGCUUUGAACACUACCUACACUCAUGGUCAUCGUGAUUUGGACGCUACCUACACCCAUGGCCAGAAUGCUGCGGACAGUACCUUUACCCAUGGUCAGCUUGAUGUGGACAUUACCUACACCAUUGAUACCGCUGUUACGGGCACUACCUACAUCCCUGCUCCUAAGAAGAAGUGGAGAGACGACUUGCGAUGCGGCCAGGGUUACCCUGCAGAUGAUGGUAACCCUGCUGAAUGUGAUCCUGACGGUAAACGUCGAUGCUGCUCCGAUGCAAACUGGUGCGGGUACUCGCUUUACCACUGUGACUGCCGCGGCUGUGUUAACUACGGAAAGAACAUCAAGAAAACAAGAGAAUGCAGGACGAUUGAGACGGAUUCCGGGCCUCAGGUUUUCUGUACACUUGAUUGAAAGGAAAUCCCUCCAAGACAUCUGUUGAUUCAAUUAUAUAAAUGAGUUUCUCCCAAAAAGUAAAUAUUAGGAGAAGGUGGGAAAUGUUUUUGUUUGAAAACACUUUCAAUCAACAAUGCCAUUCUUCGCCAUAAGUAUCCAUUUUUCGAUUUUGUUUUUAAAUUUUCAUCAUGUAUUGAACCUUUUAACUGUUGAUUUGUGCGAUUGACAAUAUGGUAAUAUUUAGAACGGGCGAAAAUUAGCGCCCUGUGAGAUGAGAUGUUCUCCAAAUAUAAUCGAAUCGACAAGGCGCCCUUAUGUGAAAUAAGUGCUUUUGAAAAAGCUGACGUUUGCCCUUUAUAGUACCUAAAUUUGGUACAAAAUGCCACCAAUCGCGUAAAUGAUGACCAUUGGAAAUCAGAAAACAGCCCCAUAUUUAUACAUAAACACGAAACGCUUGCUUAUU